UACGAAGGGGGCUAGCGUUGUUCGGAAUUACUGGGCGUAAAGGGCGCGUAGGCUGUGCUGUAAGUCAGGCGUGAAAGCCCCGGGCUCAACCUGGGAAUGGCAGUGGAAACUAGGGGACUUGAAUCUGGCAGAGGGGGGUGGAAUUCCACGUGUAGCAGUGAAAUGCGUAGAGAUGUGGAGGAACACCGAUGGCGAAGGCAGCCCCCUGGGCUGAGAUUGACGCUCAGGCACGAAAGCGUGGGGAGCAAACAGG
rnacentral:rRNA from 1 species